GAAAUGCGAUAAGUAGUGUGAAUUGCAGAAUUCAGUGAAUCAUCGAAUCUUUGAACGCACAUUGCGUCCUUUGGUAUUCCUUAGGGCAUGCCUGUUCGAGCGUCAUCUAAACCUUCAAGCCCUGCUUGGUGUUGGGUGCCUGUCCCGCCUCCGCGCGCGGACUCACCUCAAAUCCAUUGGCGGCCCCCGCGUCGGCCACGAGCGCAGCAGAAACGCGAACUCGUGAGCCCGUCCGGGCGGCUCCCAGAAGCUACACCCACCCAGUUUGACCUCGGAUCAGGUAGGGAUACCCGCUGAACUUAAGC
rnacentral:misc_RNA from 1 species